CCUACGGGAGGCAGCAGUGAGGAAUAUUGGUCAAUGGACGAGAGUCUGAACCAGCCAAGUAGCGUGAAGGAUGACUGCCCUAUGGGUUGUAAACUUCUUUUAUAUGGGAAUAAAACGUUCCACGUGUGGGAUUUUGUAUGUACCAUAUGAAUAAGGAUCGGCUAACUCCGUGCCAGCAGCCGCGGUAAUACGGAGGAUCCGAGCGUUAUCCGGAUUUAUUGGGUUUAAAGGGAGCGUAGGUGGAUUGUUAAGUCAGUUGUGAAAGUUUGCGGCUCAACCGUAAAAUUGCAGUUGAUACUGGCAGUCUUGAGUACAGUAGAGGUGGGCGGAAUUCGUGGUGUAGCGGUGAAAUGCUUAGAUAUCACGAAGAACUCCGAUUGCGAAGGCAGUUCACUGGACUGCAACUGACACUGAGGCUCGAAAGUGUGGGUAUCAAACAGGAUUAGAUACCCCUGUAGUC
rnacentral:rRNA from 1 species